rnacentral:rRNA from 1 species
UACGUAGGGGGCAAGCGUUGUCCGGAAUCAUUGGGCGUAAAGAGCGUGUAGGCGGCCUGGUAAGUCCGCUGUGAAAGUCCAGGGCUCAACCCUGGGAUGCCGGUGGAUACUGUCGAGCUCGAGUCCGGAAGAGGCGAGUGGAAUUCCUGGUGUAGCGGUGAAAUGCGCAGAUAUCAGGAGGAACACCAAUGGCGAAGGCAGCUCGCUGGGACGUGACUGACGCUGAGACGCGAAAGCGUGGGGAGCAAACAGG